GUCUAGGGUCAUAUCACUCUGAGUGCACCUGAUCUCAUCUGAUCUCAGAAGCUAAGCAGGGUUGAGCCUGGUUAGUACUUGGAUAGGAGACUUUUCAUUCUUUAAUUAGGGGAUGCUAUCUA
rnacentral:rRNA from 1 species